CGCAACGGGUAUUCGAACCACGGAUGCAUGAUUGCUAGUCCAGCACAUUACCACUCAGCCACCGAC